rnacentral:rRNA from 1 species
GGCACGCCUAAUACAUGCAAGUCGAACGAAGUAGCAAUACUUAGUGGCAGACGGGUGAGUAACAUGUAGGUAUCUUCCCUAUGGUGAGGAAUAACACGAGGAAACUUGUGCUAAUACCUCAUAAGUCUUUACAGAGAAAGCUUUAUGCGCCAUUGGAUGAGCCUGCACUUGAUUAGUUUGUUGGUGGGGUAAUGGCCUACCAAGACAAUGAUCAAUAGCUGAUUUGAGAGGAUGAUCAGCCACAUUGGGACUGAGACACGGCCCAAACUCCUACGGGAGGCAGCAGUAGGGAAUCUUGCACAAUGGGGGAAACCCUGAUGCAGCGAUGCCGCGUGAGUGAAGAAGGCCUUUGGGUUGUAAAGCUCUUUCGUCGGGGAAGAAAAUGACUGUACCCGAAUAAGAAGGUCCGGCUAACUUCGUGCCAGCAGCCGCGGUAAUACGAAGGGACCUAGCGUAGUUCGGAAUUACUGGGCUUAAAGAGUUCGUAGGUGGUUAAAAAAGUUGGUGGUGAAAUCCCAGAGCUUAACUCUGGAACUGCCAUCAAAACUUUUUAGCUAGAGUAUGAUAGAGGAAAGCAGAAUUUCUAGUGUAGAGGUGAAAUUCGUAGAUAUUAGAAAGAAUACCAAUUGCGAAGGCAGCUUUCUGGAUCAUUACUGACACUGAGGAACGAAAGCAUGGGUAGCGAAGAGGAUUAGAUACCCUCGUAGUCCAUGCCGUAAACGAUGUGUGUUAGACGUUGGAAAUUUAUUUUCAGUGUCGCAGCGAAAGCAAUAAACACACCGCCUGGGGAGUACGACC